UAUGAUAAACAGUUGCUUUUAUGUUGAAGAAUGUGAGAUUCAGCGCAUUCGACUAUAAAUCACGGUUUGUGUAAUCAAUACCAUGUGGUAACAUUAUAUUAUACUGGGCAGAUAUUGUUGAAUAAUAUGGAGAUGGUAGCUCCCAAAAACUGCUGGCAAUGUCAAAUCACCGUAUAUCAAACUGUAUGUGCUUACUCUGUGUAACACACUUACAAACAUGCAUUUCAUUAUAUGUUACUGAUGUUCAACAAUACGGCAAACAGUUUCACGCAUCUGUAUUUGUGAAGCAGGGAAAAUCGACUGAUACUGAAAACAAAACAAAAAAAAAAUGUGGAAGAUGAAAAUUUUAUUUCAGAAGUAGCAGUUAACGUGCUGAUAGCGAUAAGUUGCGUUGAAAACGGUCUCCUUCCGGAUUCGUUCAUCGUCGCCCUCAUCGGUGGCUUACAUCUGGUAGCAACUUGUCACUGUACACGGCAUAGCUCCAGUGACCUUCCAUCUCGCCUUCCAUUUGGAAGUUUUAAUGCCAUCAAAGCGACAUAGAUUCGCACAUCAUUCGGACAGUUUGGCAAGUGCAUCAUCUGCCCAUGGCAUGUCCUGAAGGAACGGUACGUGAUUGUGCUUCCAACGCUGCGGUGGGACAACCCAAUUUGGAUGGAUAUUUCAUCGAUUCGACUCCCAACUCUUUCCAAACCAGCUGACGUUUUUCAAGGUUCAUUUAUCUUGGGAUCCUGCUAACACAGAAAAAGAAAAUAUACGGAGGAGUUGAAGAAGCAGCAGGACACAUUGUAUAUAGACAUAGAAGAUGGUGGAGUCUACCACGAUGCUAUUAAUAAAAGUAAUUAAUUCUUAUUUAAUUUGUUCCUUUUUUAUUUCUCACAUAAAAUAAAUAAAAGAAUAGUAGAUAGCUAUUUAAGUACAAUAUGAUAUACGGCUAUUCUACCAUGGAUAACUAUAAAGCACUAGUUACACAUACCUUUACGAUUUUCUUUCAAAUUUACAGUUAAACUGUUCUCUAACCAUUUGAUUUACAGCGGAUCGUCUAAAAAACUGGACAAUAUAUUGACCAUAUCCUUUACUGUAUUGCGAAAAAUUUGUUCGAGAAAAUGAGCGAUUUUUUAUGGUAACCUAUCUUAACCGCCUAUUCCACAUACUGUAAUUUGGCGGAUUACCAUUUGUCAAACAGGCAAAUCUGUACAGGGUAUGGUUAGCUUACUGUUAUCUCGCAUAGUCUGAGAAACGGUUAAAUGACGAUUGCUAAUAGUCAGCAACAGUAUAAGAAACACUGCAUUUACGGUUAGUGAUUAU